rnacentral:rRNA from 1 species
AUGGCUACGAAAACAGAGCUUCUUCGUUUGCUACAUGUGCUGCUCCUGCUCCUUCCGCCCCCCCUCCGCAAUUACCUGUCUACUGAUCAAGCCGCUGGCAGCAAAGUCGGCCAUGGCCGGCUCGAAGAAUACCACCCGAUAAUUUUGUUCCCGGGCAUAAGCUGCCCCAACCUCGAGGCGCGGCUGACCGACGCCUACGCCCCGUCGCUUCCGCGCUGCGGCGCGCUCAAGGGGAAGGGGUGGUUCCCGCUGUGGAACAACACCCGGGACCUGCUCGACCACGACUACUUGCCGUGCUUGCUGGAGCAGAUGAGCCUCCUGUACGACCCCAUCCUCAACGACUUCCGGAACCAGCCCAGCGUUGAGACGCGCGUGCCGGACUUCGGUUCUUCCUACGGUUUCACGGCAAAGGACGAUGUGGGACAUGACGUAUUUUGCCUGUUAAAGCUCCGCGAAGAACUGGAGGCACAAGGGUACCGCGAUACGGCACGCUCCACCCUCACCCGGCCAGCCAUCUCAUGUGUACUCCGACUACUUUGCCCGUGUCAAGGAUCUGGUCCAGCAUGCGAGCAAGAAGAAUGA